CUUCCAGUAGCACCUUAGAGACCAACUUUCAAAAGCUCAUACCAAUAACUAACUUAGUUGGUCUCUAAGGUGCUACUGGAAG